CAAUAAUCUUGUACAAUAGGCAGAAUAAUAGUAAUAUAACUAGUAGGUAUGUUAUUAAUAAGAUCAUAAGUAAAUAUUUAAGUGAAGAGCUUCAGUAGGUGUGGCCCAGUAUCUCCCAGGGUUGUCUAACCAGUCUGUUUUGCAUCCAUCACCAUCUUUAAGGGAAAUGGUAUGUUGUUAUAAGUUCACUAAAGAUCUCUGCAGGUAUGAGGUGAGUGGUGAAUCAUGGUGAUCCCUUAAGGACAGACAAAAGAAUGUUAUCUUGUGAGGAGUUAUGGCUGGUGUUAGAAGAACAAUUGAUAUUUAUGUUUGAGCAGGUAUUACUGCCACUGGGUAGUCUGGCUAAUGCAGAUGCAUAAUGGACAGUAGACAGGAGGGAGGAGGCCAAAGGGCAGAGAAAAAGUUUCUGUUCAAAAUUUUCUUGUCUUGCCUUAAAAUGUGAAUUUUUAUUUCAUCAGCUUAUCCUAGGUUUCGUGCAUCCAAGGCAUUGUUAACAGAUCUCUCCUUUCUACUGCUGGCAAACUCCAGAGACCCUUUCCUCUACCUGUGGACUUAGUGCUUUCUUUCACAGAAAUGAUAUGUUGUUGUCAUAAGUAAACUUUACUAAAGAUGUCGGAGCAGAUACAUGGUGAGUGAUGGAUCAUGGUGACCCCUUAAGAAUGAACAAAGGAAUGUUAUCUUCUGAAGAAUUAUGUGGGCUGGUGUUCAAAGAAGAGCAACUGAUGUUUAUGUCUGAAGAGGUAUUUCUGUCAUCGGGAACUCUGAUUAAUGCAGAAUGUAGAUGCAUGAUGUAUAGGAGAGGGGAGGGAAGAGACUAAAGAGCAGAGAAAAUUUUAUGUUUAAAGUUUUUCUUGUCUUGCCUGAAAAUGUGAACUAUUUCCUCACGUAUAUACAUACAAACACAGUUUUUCACAUUUCGGUGAGUUCAGGACUGCCGAAUAAACCCAGUUAAUAACC